GACGAACCGUGCGAACGUUAUUCGGAAUCACUGGGCUUAAAGCGCGUGUAGGUGGGGCGGCACGUCGGUCGCUGAAAUCCCCCGCUUAACCGGGGAACGGGCGCCGAUACGACCGCCCUUGAGGGGCGUAGGGGGGGCUGGAACUUCCGGUGGAGCGGUGAAAUGCGUUGAGAUCGGAAGGAACGCCCGUGGCGAAAGCGAGCCCCUGGACGUCAUCUGACACUGAGACGCGAAAGCCAGGGGAGCGAACGGG
rnacentral:rRNA from 1 species